GACGAACGCUGGCGGCGUGCCUAAUACAUGCAAGUCGAGCGAAUGAAGAAGGAGCUUGCUUCUUCUGAUUUAGCGGCGGACGGGUGAGUAACACGUGGGCAACCUGCCCUGUAGAUUGGGAUAACUCCGGGAAACCGGAGCUAAUACCGAAUAAUCUUUUUCUUCACAUGAUGAAAUGUUGAAAGACGGUCUCGGUUGUCACUACAGGAGGGGCCCCCGCCGCAUUACCUAUUGGGAGAGGAAACGGUUCACCAAGGCAACAAUGCUUACCCAACCUGAAAGGGGGAUCGGCCCCCCGGAGAUGGAAACCCGGCCCAAACUCCUACGGAAGGCACCAUAAGGAAACCUUCCCCAUGGGACAAAACUCGGAUGAACCACCCCCCCGGGAGGAAGAAAGGUUUUCGGAUCCGUAAAAUUCGGUUGUGAGGGAAAAACAAUGACUAGAGUAAUGGGUCGUUCCUGGACGGAACCUCACUAAAAAGCCCCGGUUAAUUACUGGCCACCACCCGCGGUAUUACUUAGGGGGCAGGCGUUGCCCGAAUUUAUGGGGCGUAAAGCGCGCGCAGGCGGUUCUUUAAGUCUGAUGUGAAAGCCCACGGCUCACCCGUGGAGGGUCAUUGGAAACUGGGGGACUUGAGUGCAGAAGAGGAAAGCGGAAUUCCAUGUGUAGCGGUGAAAUGCGUAGAGAUUUGGAGGAACACCAGUGGCGAAGGCGACUUUCUGGUCUGUAACUGACGCUGAUGUGCGAAAGCGUGGGGAUCAAACAGGAUUAGAUACCCUGGUAGUCCACGCCGUAAACGAUGAGUGCUAAGUGUUAGGGGGUUUCCGCCCCUUAGUGCUGCAGCUAACGCAUUAAGCACUCCGCCUGGGGAGUACGACCGCAAGGCUGAAACUCAAAGGAAUUGACGGGGGCCCGCACAAGCGGUGGAGCAUGUGGUUUAAUUCGAAGCAACGCGAAGAACCUUACCAAGUCUUGACAUCCUUUUGACACUCCUAAAAAUAAGCCUUUCCCUUCGGGGACAGAGGUGACAGGUGGUGCAUGGUUGUCGUCAGCUCGUGUCGUGAGAUGUUGGGUUAAGUCCCGCAACGAGCGCAACCCUUGAUCUUAGUUGCCAUCAUUCAGUUGGGCACUCUAAGGUGACUGCCGGUGAUAAACCGGAGGAAGGUGGGGAUGACGUCAAAUCAUCAUGCCCCUUAUGAUUUGGGCUACACACGUGCUACAAUGGACAGUACAGAAGGUAGCUACCCCGCGAGGUCGAGCUAAUCCCAUAAAGCUGUUCUCAGUUCGGAUUGUAGUCUGCAACUCGACUACAUGAAGCUGGAAUCGCUAGCAAUCGUGGAUCAGCAUGCUACGGUGAAUACGUUCCCGGGUCU
rnacentral:rRNA from 1 species